rnacentral:rRNA from 1 species
UACGUAGGGUGCAAGCGUUAAUCGGAAUUACUGGGCGUAAAGCGUGCGCAGGUGGUUUUGUAAGUCUGUCGUGAAAGCCCCGGGCUCAACCUGGGAAUUGCGAUGGAGACUGCAAGGCUAGAAUCUGGCAGAGGGGGGUAGAAUUCCACGUGUAGCAGUGAAAUGCGUAGAGAUGUGGAGGAACACCGAUGGCGAAGGCAGCCCCCUGGGUCAAGAUUGACGCUCAUGCACGAAAGCGUGGGGAGCAAACAGG